ACUCGGGUCAUAUGACUUGAAGUUUCAACAGAGUUGUUGUGGAGCGGUUGCGACAAAACGUUUUUGUGCUUUGGUGAAAACUCCGUUUCAUAUUCUUGACAGUGACUCUGCACACGCACUGGAAGAGGACAAGGGAAUAUGACGUCGUACGACGAUGACGAGGGUUUCUCGACACAGCAGUACCCGGAGCUCGUAGCCGGAUCCUUCCCGAACGACUUCGGGUACGGGAGAGAGGAGACGGACCACGACUCGCAGCGAGGCCCGCCCGACGACACCAAGCCUAGAAUCUUGCUCAUGGGACUGCGACGGUAAGCCAGGGUAUCAGCCGUCUCGCCGUCCUUGUCGGCAGAUUCAUUUUCCCACUAGACGCGGUCACUUUCACUGCGAGCAUAUAUGAGUCGAAAUAUCCUAAUGCGUAAUUUAGCACC